rnacentral:tRNA from 1 species
AAUAAAGUGUCUGAUAAAAAGAAUUAUCUUGAUAGGAUAGAAUAUGUAAAUUUAAAUUACCUUUAUUA